rnacentral:pre_miRNA from 1 species
UGGGGGAGGUCGGAUCCUGGGCUGUGUCCUCGGCAUCUUGUGCUCCCGGGCCUGCGCUGUUGGAUUUGCCCUCCCGGCCGCGCAGCCCCCU